rnacentral:rRNA from 1 species
UACGAGAGGCCCAAACGUUAUUCGGAAUUACUGGGCUUAAAGAGUUCGUAGGCGGCAUUGCAAGUAGGGUGUGAAAGCCCUCGGCUCAACCGAGGAAUUGCGCUCUAAACUGCAGUGCUCGAGGAAGCUAGAGGUGAGCAGAACAGAUGGUGGAGCGGUGAAAUGCGUUGAUAUCAUCUGGAAUACCGGAGGCGAAGGCGGCUCACUAAAUUGUAACUGACGCUGAGGCACGAAAGCGUGGGGAUCAAACAGG